AUGACAACAUAGCUGCAUAAAUUAAUAAGAUGGCGACUGUAUAGUAUGGGGGAGUCUGCCCUUGAAACUUUCUUCCAAUUUUCGUGUUAUUUGAAUAAUUUAAGUCCUCUUUAGGUUAAAAAUGUCAGAUCCAAGUAGUGCCGACCAGUCUGUUGAAGAGUUGAGGCGGGAAGUCGAGCGACUGCAGACAGAACUUGCCGAGACGACACAAGAAAAGGUGCAAGCCGCUGAGUACGGACUUGCAGUGUUAGAGGAAAAACAGCAACUUCAACAGCAAAUCGAAGAAAUAGAGACACAAUAUGAAACAUUAAAGCAAGAACUAGACACAGCUAAAGAGGCAUUAAACAAACAUCAGGACACAUUUCGUAAGCAACAAAAAAGUGGAAUUCACCAUGAAGACACAUUCCUACAGGAAACAGCUACAAGGGAAGAAAGUUAUAAAACAUCAAUCAAUGAACUUGAGACUGAAUUAAAAUCAUUCAAACAGUCCUUCGAUCGGAGCUCAGCGGAAAAUGAGCGAUUACAUCAAGCAGUUUUGGAAUUACAACAACAAACUGAUACAUUAGAAGAUCAAAGAAGACAAUACAAAAAUGACAUUUCCGAGUUCAGAAAACGGGAAAAUCGAAAUUUGGCUGAUUAUGCUGAACUCGAAGAAGAAAACAUUACACUCCAAAAAACAGUUUCUCAGUUAAAACAGAGUCAGGUUGAAUUUGAAGGAAUGAAACAUGAAAUUCGAAGACUUCAUGAAGAACUUGACGAUCUUAACAUUCAAUUGGAUGAAAAUACAAGUUUGAAAAAAAUUGUUGAAAAAAAUUUAGAAGAAGCAUUAAAUUCAUUACAACAUGAGCGAGAACAAAAACAUUCACUCAAGAAAGAACUUGACCAAAGAAUUAAUCAAGAAUCUAUGUUUAACUUAAGUAAUUUAGCUCACAUGAGCGGGCUCAGUGAAGGACUACCAAAUAGUAGAUCAGAAAUUAUUGAUGAUACUGAUGAAGGACAGGGUGAACACGAUAAUCCUGCAUUAAGGAGGAUAGAGGCAGACUUCCAAAAUGAUGAUACAAAAUCUCUCGUUAAACCAGGUCCUGGUAAAGUGAAUGACAUUCUAAGUGAAAUUCAAGAGAACGAGGUGAAAAAAUUAGAACAGCUUUUAGAUCAAAGUGAACAAGAAAAAGGUGAACUUCAAAAAGCUUUAGAUGAGGCUCAAAAGCUGAUUGAGGAUACUCAGCAGGACCUUAUAGAACAAAAGAAACGUGCCGAUCAAUUGAAAUCUCAUAUAAAUUCUGUGAUAAAGGAAAGAGAGACGGAGCUUGGCAUGGAUGAUGAUUCAACCGAUUUAGAUGAAUUAAUAGCCAAUGAAACUGAUCCAGAUAAGAAAUCGUUACUGGAACUGAAAAAGAAUCUCCGUGUUAAUGAAAGGAAAUAUUCCAAAGCCCUUUCUGAAAUAAGUACCCUUAAUGAUGAGAUUAACAACCUUCAAGCUAGAGGUCAGCACGGUACUGUCAGAUAUGACGAGAAAGAAUUCGGUCAUGCUUUAGAGGACCUCAGGAAUAAGUGUAAUCAGUAUGAAAAUACAAUUAAAGACUUAGAGAAAGAUUUGAAAGCCAUGACAAUGGCUGCUUCAGAGGCUCAGGGAAGUUUGAAUACAACUCAAGAUGAACUUGUAAAGGCCACAGAAGAAAUGGCACAGCUUUAUCAUCUUGUAUGUGAAGUGAAUGGUGAAACACCAAGCAGAGUUAUGCUUGAUCAUGCCAAAGCUGCGGCACAGUUGUCUCGAGAUGGUUCACGUAGCAGUAGUGAAGAGAAAGAAGACCCUAACCCUAAAAAGAAUAGUGAUAAAUCACCAAGGAAGACCAAAUCAAAAGCUAAGAAGAAUUAUGAUGAUAUCAAAGGUGAUCCGAUAUCAUGUUACAAACUUACAGAAACCGUCAUCGAUCAGGUUAAAUACUUGAAGAGGGCAGUAGAGCAUUUGAUGGAAGUGUCACGACAACGUAAUGGCGAUAACGAGAAUACAGAUGUUCAGGAAUUACAAGAACAAGUUGUUAAAUUGAAAGCCAUGUUGUCUACAAAACGAGAACAAAUAGCAACAUUGAGAAGUGUGCUCAAAGCAAACAAAUCAACUGCUGAAGUAGCUUUAGCUAAUCUGAAACAAAAAUAUGACACUGAAAAAGUGAUUGUCACUGAGACAAUGAUGAAGCUGAGAAAUGAACUGAAAGCAUUGAAAGAAGAUGCAGCCACAUUUGCAUCUCUAAGAGCAAUGUUUGCACAGCGUUGUGAUGAAUAUGUCACACAACUGGAUGAAAUGCAGAGACAGUUGGCGAGCGCAGAGGAAGAGAAGAAGACAUUGAAUUCAUUAUUACGAAUGGCAAUUCAACAAAAACUUACCCUUACACAGAGGUUGGAAGAUCUGGAAUUUGACAGAGAACGUCGGAAUAUGCGUAGAAGCGGACAAGGCGGACGCAAUAAAAUGGGGACUUCCAAAGUAAGUCACAACCACAACUCACAUUAUGAAGAUUAUGGUAGGGCUUCUGGCCGAUCAUACCAUAGCAGGAGGGAUUAUUAGGCCCCAGGGUUUCUUUUGAAUGGCCUAAACGUUUUUGGAGACAGAAUGAAUUCUGAUAUUCCUAAAUAAAAAUCCAAGUAAAAAAAGUGCUAGAUAAAGGGAAUAACAAUAUUGGACAGACUGAAAAAUGAAGAAAGAAAUAGAAAGGAUGAAUGUAUUCCGUCUUGUGUAUAGUGGUAGUGUGGGAAAAGAUUUUGUUGAUGUACAGCGCUGUGUUAGAUGUGUCAACGCUUUCUUGUGUUUCAUAAAAAACAGAUGCCUUUGAUAUGGACUCAAUGGGGAUAGAUAUAAUUGAAUGUUUUCAUUUUGUUAUGUUACUGAUCACAGAUCAAGUUUAUUUAUAUUCCAGCAGAUUAUUGGCAUAAUAAUGUUUGCCUACUAAUAAGAAUGAAAUUUUAAACAUAUAGAUUUAAUAUUUUAUUUAUAAAGUAUAAUUUUUUUAUAUGGUUUUGAUCAAGAUGGGUUUUAAUUUUAAUGAAAGAAAAAAGUGAUUUCAAUUAUUCUAUUAUUCUAUUAUUGAUUUUUUAUAUCACAAUUACAAUAUGGUUGUUAGAUUUUAUUUACUCUUACCACAUUUUGAACAAUAUAGAUCUGGCUAAAAUUUUACAUGCUAUAAUUUUGUUGUAAGUGUAAACACGAUUUUAAAAAUGACAAGUUUAUUUUAUUUGAGUAUGAAUUUCUAGUUAUGCUCUUUUUAUAUGGAAUGGUUUGUUAGUAAAAGGUGAAGGAAAAGUUCAUUUUGUACAGUAUUAACCAAUCAUUUUAUAUGCAAAAUCAAUAUUUGUAUUAAAAAUAUACAAAAUAUUUAUUACAAAAAUAAUAUACUUAAUUAAUGUGUAUACUCAAUUUUUUGCCAUUCAUGGCUCAUUCCAAAUGUAAUGAGAUGCUCCCCAAAGAUGUAGAUUUUUUUUCACUGUGAUAUAAGAGCUUAUUGCAUUUUGUGUGUCAUUUCCUAGGCUGAAUUAAAAGGGGAGAUCUCAAAGAUGUAAAAUUCAAGAAGCUUUUAAUUGUGCACAAAUUGCUGAUAUCAUUAGCUUAAAAUUUUGAGAUUUUAUUUUGUCUCCAUUGAAUGGAAAAUUUGUGGACAUCAGGGAUGUCUUAUAAUUAAAUUAUUUUAUUUAUGUUCAAGGUCGUCUAAAGGGUACUUGGUUUGUUUUUAAUGCCAUGCUGCCACCAAAGAUAUUAACUAACCCAUGUCAAAAUAAAGACCUUUACUUUAUAAUACCUCAUAUAGAAUAGACUGUGCCAUAAAAACAGAUAAAUAUUUUAUUGAAUAACUAUUGAGCAUGUCUUUCUGUGCAAUAUUUUGAAAGGGCAUUUUAAAUUUUUCUUAUUAUUGACAGUGCUUGUACUAGUGAUGAUUGUAAAAAGGGAGACAACUUUGAUUAUUCAUUCUUUCAUAUUGUUAAUUUCACUAUUUUCAUGCAGGCAGAUUAAACCAACAGUUUUGCCUAAAUAAAACACAUUUGUAUUGACCUCUCAUGAUGCAAAUGAUUAGUAUAAAGACAUCAUAUAAAACUAUUUGAACUUUUUGCAGAAAAUUAUCCUUUUGAAAAAUAUUUGAAUCUAAUUUUCUUCAAAAUAUUUAUAACACAAGGCUAUAUUAGUAACUAUCUGGUUUUAACAUGUAGCUAAUUAGUUUUAACAUAUAAUAUCUGUUUUUAUGGCACAAAUUUGACUGUUAUUGCAAUUGUAUAUAUAUUAUGUAUUUAUAAGCUAGUCCAGUAUUUAUACACAAAACUAAUUUAAUAUACUCAAAAAUAUUGUUAAUACUUUCUAUGUGUAUCUAUGGUAACCACUAUGCUGGUUGUGUGUUUGAAAGAGAUUGCUAGAAUGUGAGGUUGUAUGUUUAAAUUUAGAACAAAAAAAAGCUAUACAAAAAUGCAAUAUGUUAAUUUAUAUCGUUAUUUUAUCAUCAUCCAUUUACAUUUUUAUCAUGUUUUUUAUUACAUUUUAUAAAAUGUCUUAAAAAAACAUUUUUGAAUCAUAUCUUACAAAAACUUUUUUAAGUAAAACUUUUUAAUGAUUCCAAUUUUUAGGAGUAAAAAUUAUUUGGAAAAAAAAAUAUAAGUGAAAUAAAACACUUGUUUGUUGAACUAACAAGAAUAUACAUAAAAGUAAAUAUAACUUUUAUUAGAUAAACACUAGAAGUUGGUAGAAUUCUACCAAGCUUUACUUUAUAUUUGAAAAAAAUAUUUUGUUAUUUAUAUCUGUAUUAUUAUAGAAGUCUCUUGAAACCAAAAUCAAAGUAAUGCAAAAAGGAAAUCUGUUCAUGAAUAACAGAAUUUUGUUAAUUUGGUAUCAUUAAAAAGUUUCAAUAAGAUUUUGUUAAAAAAAGAAGAAAAUGCAUAACAUGUUUCUUAUCAAAUGUAGAAAUAAUUCAUUUGUUUUGUUUUGUAUGUUUUGUCUUUGCUGGGCAAAUGUUGAAUAUGCAUAAAGUAAAAAUAUAAACUUAA